AUUGAACGCUGGCGGCAUGCCUUACACAUGCAAGUCGAACGGCAGCACGGGUGCUUGCACCUGGUGGCGAGUGGCGAACGGGUGAGUAAUACAUCGGAACAUGUCCUGUAGUGGGGGAUAGCCCGGCGAAAGCCGGAUUAAUACCGCAUACGAUCCACGGAUGAAAGCGGGGGACCUUCGGGCCUCGCGCUAUAGGGUUGGCCGAUGGCUGAUUAGCUAGUUGGUGGGGUAAAGGCCUACCAAGGCGACGAUCAGUAGCUGGUCUGAGAGGACGACCAGCCACACUGGGACUGAGACACGGCCCAGACUCCUACGGGAGGCAGCAGUGGGGAAUUUUGGACAAUGGGCGAAAGCCUGAUCCAGCAAUGCCGCGUGUGUGAAGAAGGCCUUCGGGUUGUAAAGCACUUUUGUCCGGAAAGAAAUCCUUGACUCUAAUACAGUCGGGGGAUGACGGUACCGGAAGAAUAAGCACCGGCUAACUGCGUG
rnacentral:rRNA from 1 species